GUACUCGUAGGGCCACGGGAGCUGGCUG
rnacentral:sRNA from 1 species